CAGCACCCGAGCGAGCAGGACGCAAAUCACAGUAGCUCCAUUAAGGAACUUACACUAAGGCUGAAUUUUGGCGAUAAACGGCACAAUUCACAAGCCACCCAACGCUCACUGAGUGCCUCACAUUAUGGGCAAGAAGACUAAGAAGCACAAAACCGAUCCCGGCCCUAGAUCCGGAGAUAUUGCAGCUUUUCUAUGCUCGGCCACGCGGCCGCGGUCCGACCUCGACAAGAUGGCGAUGGCGGAGGCCUAUACCUCCCCGUCAUCGGACGAAGAGAGCCAGACAGCGGUCUACUUACCUCCACAGAAGGCACACACCAAGCCG